AUACCUAAGCACGGAUAGUAGAUCAGCACAUCCAAAAUCUAUAGUAGUUGGUUCUUCAUGAUGCUAAGCAGCCGCACAUGUGUCCAACCUCUACAAAUAUUCACACGAAGCUCUUGUGCUGGUCGAUCUCUCCAGGAGUGCUAACUCGUGAAGAUACCAUACUUUGGCUGAUCUAAAAAAAUAUUAAGAAGAUAAAAAUAAGAAGAUCUUCUCUUUUUCUUUCUAAAACCGUACAUCAG
rnacentral:lncRNA from 1 species